GCAUUAAGUGCCCCGCCUGGGGAGUACGAUCGGCAAGAUUAAAACUCAAAGGAAUUUGACGGGGCCCCCGCACAAGCAGCGGAGCAUGCGGCUUAAUUCGACGCAACGCGAAGAACCUUACCAAGGCUUGACAUAUAGGGAAAAGUGGCAGAGAUGUCAUGUCCGCAAGGGCUCUAUACAGGUGGUGCAUGGUUGUCGUCAGCUCGUGUCGUGAGAUGUUGGGUUAAGUCCCGCAACGAGCGCAACCCUCGUUCUGUGUUGCCAGCAUUUAGUUGGGGACUCACAGGAGACUGCCGGGGUUAACUCGGAGGAAGGUGGGGAUGACGUCAAAUCAUCAUGCCCCUUAUGUCUUGGGCUGCACGCGUGCUACAAUGGCCGGUACAGAGGGCUGCAAUACCGUAAGGUGGAGCGAAUCCCAAAAAGCCGGUCUCAGUUCGGAUUGAGGUCUGCAACUCGACCUCAUGAAGUUGGAGUUGCUAGUAAUCGUAGAUCAGCAACGCUACGGUGAAUACGUUCCCGGGGCUUGUACACACCGCCCGUCACGUCACGAAAGUCGGUAACACCCAAAGUCAGUGCCC
rnacentral:rRNA from 1 species